CACGCCGUAAACGUUGGACACUAGGUGUGGGAUGCGAUCAACGCAUUCCGUGCCGAAGUUAACGCAUUAAGUGUCCCGCCUGGGGAGUACGAUCGCAAGAUUAAAACUCAAAGGAAUUGACGGGGGCCCGCACAAGCGGUGGAGUAUGUGGUUUAAUUCGAUGCAACGCGAAGAACCUUACCUAGGUUUGACAUGUAGGUUAACGGUAUGAAAGUACCUGAUCCUUAGGGAUCCUACACAGGUGG
rnacentral:rRNA from 1 species